CAACAAAGUAUUUAUAAAAGGCAAAAAUUCGAUCGAACUUUGGGAAAUUUGAAUUCAUAUGCCCCUUUUCGACGCAGAGAUGGGAAAUCCCUGAAAAGGGGAGAAAGGAAACGGCGAUGGUGAUGGGUUGUCGCUUCGCCGCAUGCUCUGUGGCUGUCAGAGUCGUGGCCCUCUUUCUGGGAUGAUUUCGUGGAUGGAGUGAGCUUUGCUGUGUAUUUCUGGAUUUGCGUUUGGUCACGAAGAAGAUAAACAUAGGGAUCAAG
rnacentral:misc_RNA from 1 species